rnacentral:tRNA from 1 species
GCCCCGAUAGCUCAGUGGUAGAGCACUUCCAUGGUAAGGAAGGGGUCGUGAGUUCGAUCCUCACUUGGGGCA